UGGCGGCGUGCCUAAUACAUGCAAGUCGAACGAACUCUGGUAUUGAUUGGUGCUUGCAUCAUGAUUUACAUUUGAGUGAGUGGCGAACUGGUGAGUAACACGUGGGAAACCUGCCCAGAAGCGGGGGAUAACACCUGGAAACAGAUGCUAAUACCGCAUAACAACUUGGACCGCAUGGUCCGAGCUUGAAAGAUGGCUUCGGCUAUCACUUUUGGAUGGUCCCGCGGCGUAUUAGCUAGAUGGUGGGGUAACGGCUCACCAUGGCAAUGAUACGUAGCCGACCUGAGAGGGUAAUCGGCCACAUUGGGACUGAGACACGGCCCAAACUCCUACGGGAGGCAGCAGUAGGGAAUCUUCCACAAUGGACGAAAGUCUGAUGGAGCAACGCCGCGUGAGUGAAGAAGGGUUUCGGCUCGUAAAACUCUGUUGUUAAAGAAGAACAUAUCUGAGAGUAACUGUUCAGGUAUUGACGGUAUUUAACCAGAAAGCCACGGCUAACUACGUGCCAGCAGCCGCGGUAAUACGUAGGUGGCAAGCGUUGUCCGGAUUUAUUGGGCGUAAAGCGAGCGCAGGCGGUUUUUUAAGUCUGAUGUGAAAGCCUUCGGCUCAACCGAAGAAGUGCAUCGGAAACUGGGAAACUUGAGUGCAGAAGAGGACAGUGGAACUCCAUGUGUAGCGGUGAAAUGCGUAGAUAUAUGGAAGAACACCAGUGGCGAAGGCGGCUGUCUGGUCUGUAACUGACGCUGAGGCUCGAAAGUAUGGGUAGCAAACAGGAUUAGAUACCCUGGUAGUCCAUACCGUAAACGAUGAAUGCUAAGUGUUGGAGGGUUUCCGCCCUUCAGUGCUGCAGCUAACGCAUUAAGCAUUCCGCCUGGGGAGUACGGCCGCAAGGCUGAAACUCAAAGGAAUUGACGGGGGCCCGCACAAGCGGUGGAGCAUGUGGUUUAAUUCGAAGCUACGCGAAGAACCUUACCAGGUCUUGACAUACUAUGCAAAUCUAAGAGAUUAGACGUUCCCUUCGGGGACAUGGAUACAGGUGGUGCAUGGUUGUCGUCAGCUCGUGUCGUGAGAGGUUGGGUUAAGUCCCGCAACGAGCGCAACCCUUAUUAUCAGUUGCCAGCAUUAAGUUGGGCACUCUGGUGAGACUGCCGGUGACAAACCGGAGGAAGGUGGGGAUGACGUCAAAUCAUCAUGCCCCUUAUGACCUGGGCUACACACGUGCUACAAUGGAUGGUACAACGAGUUGCGAACUCGCGAGAGUAAGCUAAUCUCUUAAAGCCAUUCUCAGUUCGGAUUGUAGGCUGCAACUCGCCUACAUGAAGUCGGAAUCGCUAGUAAUCGCGGAUCAGCAUGCCGCGGUGAAUACGUUCCCGGGCCUUGUACACACCGCCCGUCACACCAUGAGAGUUUGUAACACCCAAAGUCGGUGGGGUAACCUUUUAGGAACCAGCCGCCUAAGGUGGGACAGAUGAUUAGGG
rnacentral:rRNA from 2 species